CACAGGUGCUGCAUGGCCGUCGUCAGCUCGUGCCGUGAGGUGUUGGGUUAAGUCCCGCAACGAGCGCAACCCCCCGCCGUUAGUUGCCAGCGGUUCGGCCGGGCACUCUAACGGGACUGCCCGCGAAAGCGGGAGGAAGGAGGGGACGACGUCUGGUCAGCAUGGCCCUUACGGCCUGGGCGACACACGUGCUACAAUGCCCACUACAAAGCGAUGCCACCCGGCAACGGGGAGCUAAUCGCAAAAAGGUGGGCCCAGUUCGGAUUGGGGUCUGCAACCCGACCCCAUGAAGCCGGAAUCGCUAGUAAUCGCGGAUCAGCCAUGCCGCGGUGAAUACGUUCCCGGGCCUU
rnacentral:rRNA from 1 species